AUUGAACGCUGGCGGCAGGCCUAACACAUGCAAGUCGAGCGGUAACAGUCCUUCGGAGCUGACGAGCGGCGGACGGGUGAGUAACGCGUAGGAAUCUACCCAGUAGAGGGGGAUAGCCCGGGGAAACUCGGAUUAAUACCGCAUAAACUCUAUGGAGCAAAGGGGGCUUUCGGCUCUCGCUACUGGAUGAGCCUGCGUGGGAUUAGCUAGUUGGUGAGGUAAUGGCUCACCAAGGCGACGAUCUCUAACUGGUCUGAGAGGAUGAUCAGUCACACUGGAACUGAGACACGGUCCAGACUCCUACGGGAGCAGCAGUGGGGAAUAUUGCACAAUGGGCGAAAGCCUGAUGCAGCCAUGCCGCGUGUGUGAAGAAGGCCUUAGGGUUGUAAAGCACUUUCAGUAGGGAGGAAGGCCAAGUAGUUAAUACCUGCUUGGAUUGACGUUACCUACAGAAGAAGCACCGG
rnacentral:rRNA from 1 species